UACAGGGGGUGCAAACGUUGCUCGGAAUCAUUGGGCGUAAAGCGCACGUAGGCGGUUCGUUAUGUCGGAUGUGAAAGCCCUUGGCUUAACCGAGGAAGUGCAUCCGAAACUGGCGAGCUAGAGUACUAAAGAGGAUCGCGGAAUUCCCGGUGUAGAGGUGAAAUUCGUAGAUAUUGGGAAGAACACCGGUGGCGAAGGCGGCGACCUGGUCCGACACUGACGCUGAGGCGCGAAAGCGUGGGGAGCAAACAGG
rnacentral:rRNA from 1 species